rnacentral:rRNA from 1 species
UGAGGAAUUUUGCUCAAUGGGCGAAAGCCUGAAGCAGCGACGCCGCGUGAACGAUGAAGUCUUUCGGGAUGUAAAGUUCUGUCAGCAGGGACAAUAAUGAUGGUACCUGCAGAGGAAGCACCGGCAAACUAUGUGCCAGCAGCCGCGGUAAUACAUAGGGUGCGAGCGUUGUCCGGAUUUAUUGGGCGUAAAGCGCGUGUAGGUGGGAAUAUAAGUCAAACUUAAAAGGCUGAGGCUCAACCUCAGUACGGGUUUGAUACUGUAUUUCUAGAGAUUGGGAGAGGAAAGCGGAACUAACAGUGUAGCGGUGAAAUGCGUAGAUAUUGUUAGGAACACCCGUGGCGAAGGCGGCUUUCUGGACCAAUUCUGACGCUGAGACGCGAAAGCGUGGGGAUCAAACAGG